GGUGUGUCAGCGUAACUCUGUGGUCUGUCAGCGUAACUCUGUGGUGUGUCAGCGUAACUCUGUUGUGUGUCAGCGUAACUCUGUGGUGUGUCAGCGUAACUCUGGUGACUCUGCGCGUAACUCUGUGGUGUGUCAGCGUAACUCUGGUAACUCUGGGGUGUGUCAGCGUAACUCUGUGGUGUGUCAGCGUAACUCUGUGGUGUGUCAGCGUAACUCUGUGGUGUGUAACUCUGUGGUGUGUAACUCUGUGGUGUGUAACUCUGGGGUGUGUAACUCUGGGGUUUGUAACUCUGGGGUGUGAACGUUAAUAAGGUAUGGUCGAGUCAUUGUGAUUGGCUGAUCAAGAAUGACUUCAUUGCCACAUCCACUAAUAAAUCA
ensembl:lncRNA